UUUGUGAGUGGAAAACAGUAGCAACAUUGUAAAUGAAGGCAGUAUUGGCGCUUAUGCUACAUAUGAAAUUUAUAACAACAUAUUGAUAUUAGUGAAUGUUUAUUUUUGUUGCUUUUCAUAAACCCUCCAUUUCAGGGUCUGCAUGCUAAAUUUCUGUUAUUUUAGAGUCAAGCUAUUGUACUAAGGGAUUUAUUUUGGCAAUUUAGUCAUUUGUUAGGUUAUAAGGCUGCAGAAACUUUUAGUUGAGGUUCGGCGUUCUACAGCUGCGACCCGCCAUGGCUGGGCCACCGCGGCGGCAUCACCUUCAGGGUGGACCUGCCCGUGGCCACCUGCCGGUCGGACCCGCCUGCAGUCCGCAGGGAAGCUGCCCUGCGAGCCAUUGCAGAGCUCCCGCACCCGGACGUCACUAUCUGGUCGGACGGCUCGGCUCGCGGCGGACGGAACAGGGCGGCGCAGGCGCUGAUCCAGUUCCACCACCUCAACAGAGAAGGGACCGUGCGCGCUCCUGCAGGGGCGGUCUGCUCCAGCCUAAGAGCAGAACUGACCGCCAUGCGCGAGGCGUUCGCGGCUGUGGCCGGCCUGGGGGACGGGGAGUUGGCAUCGACCAAGUCGGUCCGCCUCCUCACCGACUCAAGGUCUGGGCUCCAACUACUCGGCCGCGGCCCAGCUAACCAGACCAUGGCCCUGGCCGCCGAGGUGUGGAGGCUGCUGAGUGCUGAGCACCCUCGCCGAGAACGGCACCGAGACGGUGCUCCAGUGGGUGCCAGGCCAUGCCGGGCUGGACGGCAACGAAACCGCCGACCGCCUGGCUGGCGAGGCCACGGCGGGCGACCAAGACAGCGCACCGAUCGACCUGUCGAGUGCGCGGGCCGCCGUCACGCGCCAUGUCCGAGAGCUGUCGCGACAGAGGGCAACUGCUGCCCACCCGCACCCGGACCCCACGCCUGGCCACGACUCCCUGGCGCGCUGGGGUCGGUGACGCUGUCCCAGCUGAGGACCGGCACAUCACCGCUGACCCGUGACACGCUCCACAAGAUUGGCCCGGAAGCCGACGACGAAUGCCCCGCGUGCGGGGAGCCCGACAGCGCGGCGCACCUACUGACCGAUUGUCCGGCCUAUGAGGCGGCCCGCCGCCGCCGCUGGGGUGUCGACCCUCGCCUGGUCGACGUCCUCGGCGGCCCGGCGACGAAGGUCGUCACCUUCAUCGAGGAUGUUGGGCGGACCGAGCCGCCGCUCGACCCGCCUGCGCCGCCGCCCCCCUGAGCGAGUUGGCGAUGGGAUGCAGAAGAAGAAGAAGAAGCAACUGCCAGCGCGCCACGGCGGCGAAGCCGAGUUCCGCCGCUGGACCGCCCGCGCAAUGGCCAGCACAGACAAGAGACAACCGAAUCACAACACCUACAAUUACGUUAUUGUUAUGGUAUUGACAUUGUUACAAUUAACCCUGCUCUUUCGAGCGUGGAUGCACGCUGAAAUUGUCGCAUAAUUCCAUGCAGCUUCCACCCUUCUGCAAUACAAAGUUUGAAUACAAUGUAGUCUUACAAUAGGUUUAGAACUUAUGUGCAGAUUGUCGAUGCUGGUUGACUUGAUGAUUGGAAUUGUGUUUAUCUGUUUCAUCUGUUUUGACUUAAAUAUAUGGCCAUGGACUAUGGCCUACCUUGGGAA